rnacentral:misc_RNA from 1 species
CCGAUGUCUCUUUAUCUCCCACCAACCCCAGCCAACUCCACGCCUCCAAAUUCUGACAUCAAAUGGCAAUAUUUUGUCCGCAAAUGACAAAUCAAUUACCAAACCACAGAUGCAGUUUCCCUAAUCCUAAUAAAUUAAAUUAAAAGAUCUUAACCGCCCCGCCCGGUUACCGGUUUGGAGGCCCUUUGGUCUAUAAAUAGCCGGUGUCACAAAGGCGUUAACCGUUGAGCCUUCGCAGUACCGCUUGUUUAGGGGGCUGGUUGGAGGGACACAAAGGUCUAUAUUUUACUGUGACUCUACUCUAAGGUACCCUUGGCUAGUCUUCUUCUGUGGCUUCUGUAUGGAUUUUAUGCUUUUUUUUUCUGUUUGCUUCAUUCAUUCUUACUUGGAUUGAGAAUGAGUGUCAUUCUUUCUCAAAAUGCUUCUAUUUUGGUUUCCGCUGUGUUUAUUGCUUUAAGGAACUUUUAUUUGAGUGUCUUUGACUCAAAUGCUUACAGAUCUGGCUGUUUAUAGGUGUUUCAGAUGUCCGUUUUAUGAUCAUAUACGGGUCUGACAUUGGCUUGUGUGACAUUAGAGUUCUUAGUUACUAGUUUUGGGAGAUUUGAAGAUCUAAGUGAAUUUGAAGUCUUAUGCUUGACUUGACGUUGGAGCAAUCUUUGUAAAAGUUAUUCUCAUUAUCACCUGUUUGGAGUUUCACGAUGAAUGCUAGAAGGGGUCUUUUGUGGUGUCUAAUGGCUUGAAUUUACCUGUGUACGAUACAUUUUUUCAGUAGAAUAAUGCAGAUCUGAUGAUAUUUCCAGUUUGAUGGCUCUGUGGUUGUAUUUUCUUUUUUCUUUAUUGGAUGAGAUUAUUUAGAAUAGCAUAUAAUCCUUUUUAUUAUGUCAAUCUGGUAUAGAUCUAGUGGGUGUUCAUUUUGUAUUUAUCAGUUAUGGGACUCGUAAAUUAGUGCUCUCCGGGAUGUAGCUAGAAAUGACUACUUUCCCUUCAAGUAAUUUAGAUGUGUCGGCAGGGGGCCUUAUGUUUUUAAUUAAUUAAUAAUGAAUAACAGGGUAGAAGAGGAGAAUAAAAAAUAUGUAUAAAGCAGGACACCCCCUGAAAGUCACAAAAUGUCAAAAGAUACCUUUUGGUUUUACAGCUAAGAUUUUUCAACAUGCUUGUGGAUUUCAACAUAACAUGUAGUUGAGUUUCCUAAUGGGAGAUCUAUUAUGGAAAUGCUAUAUCCACACCAUGGAGUCCCUUAUUUUAUUAAUCCUAAAAAUGGAUCCCAGAAGUAGAUGUGGGUAUCCAUGUAGUGGAAAUAUAAACAUCCAAUCGAUUAUUGAGUUCUAAAUCUGUUAUGAUUUUCUUAUUCCAGUGGUAAGAGAAUCUAUUAGGUCUUUGUUCCCCCAAUAAUUCGAUAAUUGGUCCUUUGGGAAUGUAGACUUUAAAGAUAUGAAAAAGCAAUUUUCUUACACAGAUUCUUCCCUUUUUUAGCUGUUCUCAUAAAGUUUGAAGAUAUUUAUCUUGAGAAUAUGUUUGCUUUUGUUCUAUUUGCUAUAUUCUUAAGCAUCUAAGCAAGCUUAGAUUUCACGGAGUUGCUUUUUUUCAUCAUUAUUAAGGUGUCUUCUGCCUUUGUGAUAUUCAGCUUUAAGGAAAUGGAGACUUUUCUGUUCACCUCUGAAUCUGUGAAUGAGGGUCACCCUGACAAACUCUGCGACCAGAUCUCUGAUGCGGUGCUAGAUGCCUGUCUUGCACAGGAUCCUGACAGCAAGGUUGCCUGUGAAACAUGCACUAAGACCAAUAUGGUCAUGGUUUUCGGAGAGAUUACUACCAAGGCCGAGGUAGACUAUGAGAAGAUAGUUCGUGACACAUGUCGUUACAUUGGAUUUGUUUCAGAUGAUGUUGGUCUUGAUGCUGACAAAUGCAAGGUCCUAGUUAACAUUGAGCAGCAGAGCCCUGAUAUUGCCCAGGGUGUCCAUGGCCAUCUUACCAAGCGCCCCGAGGAGAUUGGUGCUGGUGACCAAGGUCACAUGUUUGGCUAUGCCACUGAUGAAACCCCCGAGCUUAUGCCCCUCAGCCACGUUCUUGCAACCAAGCUUGGUGCCCGCCUCACUGAAGUUCGUAAGAAUGGUACCUGCCCUUGGUUGAGACCUGAUGGCAAAACCCAAGUC